CACUUGUCCGGUGCUGGAAGGUCAGAAGGAGAAUGUUAUAAGCUUUGAAUGAAAGUCCCGGUAAACGGCGGCAGUAACUCUAACUGUCAUAAGAUAGCGAAAUUUCUUGUCGCACAACGCGGGUAAGUUUUUACAGUG
rnacentral:ncRNA from 1 species